AGAGGGGGCAAGCGUUGUUCGGAAUUACUGGGCGUAAAGGGCGCGUAGGCGGCCUGCUAAGUCGAACGUGAAAUCCCUGGGCUCAACCCAGGAACUGCGUCCGAUACUGGUUGGCUUGAAUCCGGGAGAGGGACGUGGAAUUCCAGGUGUAGCGGUGAAAUGCGUAGAUAUCUGGAGGAACACCGGUGGCGAAGGCGACGUCCUGGACCGGCAUUGACGCUGAGGCGCGAAAGCCAGGGGAGCAAACGGGAUUAGAUACCCCGGUAGUCCUGGCCCUAAACGAUGAAUGCUUGGUGUGGUGGGUAUCGAUCCCUACCGUGCCGAAGCUAACGCAUUAAGCAUUCCGCCUGGGGAGUACGGUCGCAAGGCUGAA
rnacentral:rRNA from 1 species